GGAAGCGUGGUCGAGUGGCCGAUGGCGGCAGACUUGAAAUCUGUUGGGUGUAACAGCCCCUAGGGUUCGAAUCCCUACGCUUCCGCCA
rnacentral:tRNA from 1 species